CCUGGGCCUUGACCCCUGUCCGCUUCUGUAUUAAUGUCCAGGAGGUUAGUAAGGUGUACUACUGUGUCUUGGUGGGUGGGGAGGAGAUUCGGGAGUGAUGUGUUCCUCAGGCAGGCAGGUGUCUGGGCCAGGGGCCACCUGGUUUUGUUCAUCUGUCUGAGUGUCUGAGGUCUGUGAAUGCGUCUUGUUAGCAAGUUGUAGGUAGGCCUGCCACAUUGUGUUGGUGUGGGGACCUUGUUUCCCAAUUUUCAUCUGGUACUAUCUGGUAGGAGUUCGUAUUCUAUUGUUGCAGGCAUUUCAGAUUUGAUUUCCCUGAGAGAAGGCAAGUUGUGGGUCUUCCAGCAUUUGGCUAUCAGUGUGGAUACUGUGCUCAGUAUCAGGUAGAUCAUCUUCCGGAUUGGUUUAGGAGUGUUGUCCGGUAGCAGUCUGAGUAAUAUUAUAGUUGGUUCGUGAGCCAGUUGGAAGUUUGUGACUUUCGUUAUCAAUGUUAUGGUUGCACAUUUAUUUUAAUGUCAUCUUUAGAAUCUUUAUUCCCAGCAAAUCAGGGCAUCUUAACGGUUUUGGUAAUUUUCACAGCUUUUACACUGUCUAAUCAACCAUAUGUCGUAACUAUAUCUGGUUCUGCACAAACUAUUUAAAUGGAAACUAUAGGGCCAGGAAAACAAACUCCUUUUCUUGGCACUAUAGCGUCCCUCUCUGUCAAGGCCCCCCUCCUGCGGCGCUGAAGGGGUUAAUAACUCCUUCAGUCACUUACCUGGGUCCAGCACCGAUGUCCCUCGGCACUGGCUCAGCUUUGCCAACGCUUCUCCCCGGUGAUCUAAUGACCAUGUGCGGUGAUCUAAUGACCAUGUGCGGCAAUUCAGUGCUUUCCUUUGGGGGAUCUGGCAACGCUGGAGGUCCUCAUGCAAAGCAACCAAACGUCCUCAUGCAUAGACGAGCAAAACAACCAAAAAUCGUCUAAGAAGCUGGAAGUUCUAGACAGCCACUAGAGGAGGAGUUAACCCUCAGAGGUAAUUAUUGCAGUUUAUAAAAUAAGCGGAAGUGGUCUGGGUGCCUACAGUGUCCCUUUAGGAUUGUAUGCAUAAAUAGAAAACAAAAAAGGAAUUUAAAUACUUAUUAUUAAAUACAGAUUAAACAGAAAAAACUGCUUCCCACUGAACACCUCCCAAGUAGUGUUACAUCAGAACAAGCCAAGAAAUACAAUAUUCGUGGGAUUCAGCUGAUCUAAAAUAAAAUAAAACUGUUUCAUGCUAUGUUUUAUUUUAUUUUAGAUUCAGGGCCGGACUGGGGAUACAAAGCAGCCCUGGAAAAAAAAUAUAUGCCAGCCCUAUAAGUCAAUGCGCCAUAUAUUGUCGCAUGUAAUAUGUAGGGCUAUGUCUUGCCACCCCAGAUGAUUGAAUAUAAUAUACCAUGACACAGACAGGCCAUGCCACAGACACACACACACCAUGACACAGACAGACCAUGCCACACAGACACCCACCAUGACACAGACACAUACACCAUGACACAGACAGACACACCAUGACACAGACAGACCAUGCCACACAGACACCCACCAUGCCACAGACAGACACAUACACCAUGACACAGACAGACACAUACACCAUGACAGAGACAGACACAUACCAUGACAGAGACAGACACAUACCAUGACACACACACGCACCAUGACAGAGACAGACACAUACCAUGACACACACACACACACCAUGACAGAUACACACACACACACAGGUCAUGCAGGGCAGAGAGCUGGGUGUGAUGGCGGCCGCUGGAGGUGCAGGGAUGGCAGCCGCUGGAGGAGCUGUUCUGGCGGCUGCAGGGGAAGCUGUGCUGUCUCUGCUCCCCCUCCCUCGCG